rnacentral:lncRNA from 1 species
GACGAUACUUGAUGACGAAAUGUUACCAACAUUUGAUGAAAUCAUUCCAUCUCCUCCCGAAGAACUCCAGAAUGCGGAAGACUCUGUUCAUGUUAAAGAUGUUGGCUUUUCAUUAAUAAAUCAAAUUCUGGAUUUAAUGUACAAUAAUCAGGGGGACUCAUUAACAAAAUUGAAACAUUUGUCGCUGGCGUCAACUGACAUUUUGAAGGAAAAUAAUGCUAUUUAAGUACAUAGUUUUAAUCGUUGUUACUGUUUUAUUUAUUGGUUAUGUUAUGUUAAAUUUAUUUUUCCCCAUAUUUAUAAGAGAAAAUUUAUACUAUAGAAAAUUAUUAUAAAUGUUUAAAAGUUUGAAAAAAUCAA